rnacentral:rRNA from 1 species
CCUGCCCAAGAGAUCGGGAUAACACCUGGAAACAGAUGCUAAUACCGGAUAACAACAGAUGAUGCCUAUCAACUGCUUAAAAGAUGGUUCUGCUAUCACUCUUGGAUGGACCUGCGGUGCAUUAGCUAGUUGGUAGGGUAACGGCCUACCAAGGCGAUGAUGCAUAGCCGAGUUGAGAGACUGAUCGGCCACAUUGGGACUGAGACACGGCCCAAACUCCUACGGGAGGCAGCAGUA